GGGCAGCGCUGCUAACUGCAGUCGACGAGACCUUCGGGUCUAGUGGCGCACGGGUGCGUAACGCGUGGGAAUCUGCCCUUAGGUACGGAAUAACAGUGAGAAAUUACUGCUAAUACCGUAUGAUGUCUUCGGACCAAAGAUUUAUCGCCUAGGGAUGAGCCCGCGUUGGAUUAGCUAGUUGGUGGGGUAAAGGCCUACCAAGGCGACGAUCCAUAGCUGGUCUGAGAGGAUGAUCAGCCACACUGGGACUGA
rnacentral:rRNA from 1 species